CCUCAAUAAAGGAAAUAUUUGUAGGAACAGGUUGAUUUUCUAUUUCUAGAAUGACAUAAAGUCAAAGAUUGUUUUGUAGUUAAUAAACAAAGGCUGAAGUGUUUUCAGCGGAAACGCGUUGCGAAUCUCCUAAUCGAAAUCACGGAUCAGAAGAGAGGAUCAGCUGUAGAGCCGUCAAUCCACUGCCGAAAGUAGGCACUCCCCCAACAGAGAACCAAUCACCGCCUUAUCCGGAGAAGGCGCGAAGUCUGGGGAGUACAGCGGUCAAGACGCUGGGUAACACCGCUCCAGGAUCAGCUGCGGAUAGCUCACACAGAGGAAAUAUUAUUCAAAGAUCAAACAGGUACAUCUUGAACUAAGUGCACUUAUAGGAUUGCCCUUUUUCCUCAAAAACUGUUGGAUUUAUAACUAGAAAAAGUACGGACUAUAUCAGUAUUAUCUCCACUAACUUUGGUGAUCACGCUUCUAAAUAUAAGAAAUAUAAGCUGAAAGACCUCGCUACCACCACUUCCAUUCUAUUUGUGUUGCUAGCUGCUGCCUAUUGUACCGAAUUGAAUCAGGAGUCUUUUUUAUUUUUAUUUUUAUUAUACAAUUGUGAUAUUGCAAGUGAAAUUUGAUACUAAAACUGACACAGAAAAUUGAUACAGGCUCAUUGAGUCUAUUAUUUUAAACACUGCAUGAAAUAGCAAAAUUUUUAUCAUUAGGUUGGCCAACCACGGAUAUUAUUUUGGGCAUUAACAUUAAUAUUAGAGAAACCAUUUCUACUACGUUCCUUUAAUCUUACUACUUUUUUUAUACAUUAUUUAUGUUAGUUGAAUCUGCUCAUUUAGAAAUUUUCAUUGAAUUAUGUUUUUAAACUAUAUUGUUUAAAUAUAAUAAAAGUUUUUAUUUAUA